rnacentral:antisense_RNA from 1 species
CGGCCCAAGGGGAUGCAGGAACAUCCCCUUGAGCCUAACCAAUCCAGACCUAUACAGGAGGUCAGAAAUGGCUGC